GGACCCGCACAAGCGGUGGAUUAUGUGGAUUAAUUCGAUGCAACGCGAAAAACCUUACCUACCCUUGACAUGUCCGAGAGCCUGCUGAAAGGCGGGUGUGCCCGAAAGGGAAUCGGAACACAGGUGCUGCAUGGCUGUCGUCAGCUCGUGUCGUGAGAUGUUGGGUUAAGUCCCGCAACGAGCGCAACCCUUGUCAUUAGUUGCUACCGCAAGGAGCACUCUAAUGAGACUGCCGGUGACAAACCGGAGGAAGGUGGGGAUGACGUCAAGUCCUCAUGGCCCUUAUGGGUAGGGCUUCACACGUAAUACAAUGGCGCGUACAGAGGGUUGCCAAGGGGCGACCUGGAGCCAAUCCCUUAAAGCGCGUCGUAGUCCGGAUAGGAGUCUGCAACUCGACUCCUUGAAGUCGGAAUCGCUAGUAAUCGCGGAUCAGCAUGUCGCGGUGAAUACGUUCCCGGGUCUU
rnacentral:rRNA from 1 species